CUGUUACUUUUCAUAUACAGGUAUUCAUAGGUAUAUAUAUAAAAUAAGAUGAUGUUUUAUCGACAAUAAGACAACUGCAUGUUUAUAUCCCCCAAUAUUAAUAUAAAGUGGUUGUAAGCAAUUCUGGGCAACCAUACGGCCUUCAAUAAUGAGAAAAAAAAAUACCAUAUAGUCGUCUAUAAAAGGUCCCGACAUGGAAAAUAUGAAACUGUUAACAUUCAAUUGAGAAAACUAACGGUCUAAUAUAUCUCCCAAUUAACACGAUAUUCCCCCGGCUUGUAUUCUUUAUCAUAAUUAACUUGAUAGCGGCUUACUGCUAACAAGGAAGCUAUUAACGUAAACUAAAAGUUCCACAUGGUGAAGUUGAAAUAACCCUUCGUAAAUGUUGUGGACGCCAUCACGAGUUGGUUGACCGUUAAGGAAUAUCCGUUUCACAGAUGACUGCGGAUAUGUGACCUACCGAAUGAGACUUAGUCCCGGUUUCGUACUAUAACAUGAACAACACGACGGGUGCCACAUGAGCAGCAGGAUCUGCUUAUCCUUCAGGACCAC
rnacentral:lncRNA from 1 species